GUUCAUGAAAGAAAAAAAGAAUAACUUUCCUUCUAAUAGAAAACUAGUGAAUAUAUUCGCGAGGCCACAAACACGAAAAGCGCGCGCUGGUGAAUCGAAUGGAAAUGACCUUCAAUGCAAAAUAUUCCUGUAUUCACCAUAAACAACUUUAGCAAUGUUGCCAACUGAGGUAAAAUUUCUUAAGCACUUUUGAGAGGGAACUGUGAGAACGUGAUGUUUUGAGAGAAAUGAUGGUUGGUGAAAACCUGUUUGAUUGUAUUUCUGUAAGUUUAUCCUGAUCUUCAUCUAAACCGAUAUGUUGUUUUGGAAAUUAUGUCCAUUUGCAGCGCCUCUGUCUCCCUUAUGAAGCACGUGAAACGGUAUUUAUACGUGAAUAAUGUGUUUAAAGUGUCGAACAAAACAACUCUUUGUUUUUUUUUUCUCCUCGAGUCUGGCGUUUAUUGACUCAUGAACACGUUUUGCAGUUGUGCACUGUACAAUGGGGUUUAGUUUUUUAAGUUAUUAUCUUUAUAUAAUAUGUUUAUAUAUUAAUGUAUUCUAUAAAUUAAGAUAUUAGUUAAAGUAAGCAUGAAACGGAAGCUGAGCUCGUGUUUUCUUCUCUAUUGCGCCGUAUAUCCGAGUGAAACGCUUCUCAAACAAGAACAAAUGUAGGGCGGGGCUUGAUUUUGUCUGUGAGGCGCAUCUCAAAGAAUUACGAUUUUAGUUGAGUUUCAUCAUGUUUUCUGCUGUUAAGUAAGAGCGGUGUGCAGGUUUAAAUCAUUCAGGCUGUAACACUGCGUUUCAUCCUGCAGGUGGAGCCAAACUUCAGAGAAUCACUAGAGAUUGAAAAAUCAUUUUGGCUCAUUGUGCGAAAAACCAAAACAAAAAAUGUAAAAAAGAACGUGUGUGAGAGUUCUGGACGUGUUCUGCAGAGAUCAGGCGGUCAUGGCGCUGGUUCUCCUCUAGAGGAGACAGUGAGAAGGUCACAGGAGUUGGAGCAUGCAGACCGACCGCAUACUUCUGCUCAUCUAUUGUUCAGGUUAAGUUACAGAAGCAUUCACAGUUUCUCUUCAGGAAUGGCCGCUCAGAUCUGAUUGUUGAAGGUUAGCGGCGGCGCUUGAUCCCGAGGCGUGAUUGCAGCUCUGUCUAAACUCUCUUAGCCCCGGGCGCUCAAUCUCUUCACCUUCACUUCCUCUCUGGUUUACAAGCUCUUCGCAUGCACAUCCAUCGGCGAGCGGCGCAGAACCGGCCGGGCGAGUCUAUGUGGCCUCGGGCUCCGGCGCUCUGCUCUUGCGUGAGGACGAGCUCUUUAUCUCUGAGACGCUAAUGACCCUCCAUCUGCCCUGACAGCCGGCUUCUGCGCUUUGCACGCGUUUAGUGCGUCUCCUUGGGCGGACUGUCCUGUGGAGGCGUGUGUUUUUGGCUUUAAAGUCACCAUGAAAUCUAAAAGGACAAUUCUUGUUUUUUGAUUGAAUA